AUGAUGGGCUUUAUUCGUUUGUUGUAUGUUUAGGCUGUGCGUUUGUUCAUGUAUCAGGGCCGGAAAGAUAGUGUUCACCCUCUAAACCUAAUUCCGCUCAAACAGAAGAUCACGGGUCGUCUCUUUCUCUUGCUGCGACUGUAGACGUCUGAGCUUCCUUUCUCCAUCUGAAACGGCCCGAUUUGUGAUUCAGUGAUUAAUCAUAUUAAUUGCAUCACCCACUAUAAGGUCUUCAAUGCGUUGUUCAUCUCCAAGUCGGUGUGAAAUCUGUAUAAAUAUUCCGACAGGUGCUCCUCCGUCGUCGAGGCUAGGCUGCUGCGGUUCUGGGAGAGGAGAGAGAUGAAAAGGCCGGUGAUUGAUUCCCUUAUGGUCAUAAAAGAUGCGCUAGGGUCAUUCUGAAAUCUGGUAAGAUUCACUGUCUUUCUUAUGAUUAUGAGCUAGAGUAGUUUAAAAGAUCGGGUAUUAAGGUUCGAAAUAAGUGUUUGAAUGUAGAGCUCAUAUCUUGAGUAUUGAUUUGUGAUCAUGUGAUCUCUAUUCUACAGUGACCACAUAAACAUGAUUCGUUUCUUUGUCGCACCAACUCAUGUGCUUUGUUCCUUACAUUGAUGGGCUUAGUCCUUGACUUUAAUUAUCUCACCUUGAAUCUUUUCCUCUGCUAUGCCUAAUGGUUUUUUUGGGUUGUUUCACCUUGAGUCUUUUCCUCUUGCAUUGCUUUCCAUGAUGAAGAGUGGGGAGUUCCUGUCCAUGACAACAAUUAUUAAGCCUCUCUGGUGUUCUUUCCGAACUAUCCUGGAAAUAUAUUCUUUUCAAAAGACAAUCAUUCAGGGAAAUUUUCAUGGAAUUUGAUUCCUUUCCUACAUCUUCACAAAAAAAAGAGAACAUCCCCUGAGUUGCAACCACUCCAUUACUAUCCAUGAUCCAAGGCUUAAUGGAAAAAUAACACUCCGCCAGACUUGAAAACGGUUUCAGUCAACCAGGUUAAAGUACUUGACUGCUUGUGAUAGACUUAUCAAGUUAAGAAUUAAUCUGGUUAAACACAGGUAUAGAGUUGCACAUUCCCAUCUUUGGCUUCCCAUAUGAGAAGAAAUUUGGGAACAUCGUCUGGAAAUCAUAGAAUUCUUUCUUUACCUUCACCUAAAACAAACAGAGAUGAUAGGAGUGUUCAGAAAAAUAUCCAGAUUAAUACAGAGUUAGCCAGAAGACUAUGAACGCACAUGAGGCAGAAGCAGCUGCAAAACAGGCAGUUUCACAGGUAGAAGCUGCCAUGACAGCGGCUGAAGAAGCUGCAAAGGAAGCAGAUGCAGCAGAAGCUGCUCAAGCUUAUGCCUAAGAAGCUUCAAAGACAUUGAAAGGAAAAAAACAUCUGCAAAGUGGUAAACACACUUUUCUUAUAUCACACAACACAUGAUAAAGAGAAUACUUUAUCAUGGUCGUAUUGAAAAUUUGAUUAAACAGAUGGUUUGUAAGUGAGGUGACAUAGAAGAAGAAGCUAAAUGUGUUGCAGGUGACGAGAGAGUGAUGCACAAAAGUAGUGUGUAUGUGUUGAUGAAUUUCGACUUAGAACAUUUUUUGUUGUAAAGAAGAAGCUAAAUGUGUUGCAGGUGACGAGAGAGUGAUGCACAAAAGUAGUGUGUAUGUGUUGAUGACUUUCGACUUAGAACUUUUUUUUGUUGUAAAGCAGUAAUUUUAGAUUCACAGCCAUUUUAUUAUUGCUCACAUUUA